rnacentral:rRNA from 1 species
GUGGGGAAUAUUGGACAAUGGGCGAAAGCCUGAUCCAGCCAUGCCGCGUAUGUGAAGAAGGUCUUCGGAUUGUAAAGCACUUUAAGUUGGGAGGAAGGGCAGUAAGUUAAUACCUUGCUGUUUUGACGUUACCGACAGAAUAAGCACCGGCUAACUUCGUGCCAGCAGCCGCGGUAAUACGAAGGGUGCAAGCGUUAAUCGGAAUUACUGGGCGUAAAGCGCGCGUAGGUGGUUUUGUAAGUUGGAGGUGAAAUCCCCGGGCUCAACCUGGGAACUGCCUCCAAAAAUGCAUGACUAGAGUACGGUAGAGGGUAGUGGAAUUUCCUGUGUAGCGGUGAAAUGCGUAGAUAUAGGAAGGAACACCAGUGGCGAAGGCGACUACCUGGACUGAUACUGACACUGAGGUGCGAAAGCGUGGGGAGCAAACAGGAUUAGAUACCCUAGUAGUCC